rnacentral:rRNA from 2 species
UUCCCCUAGUAACGGCGAGUGAAGAGGGAAAAGCCCAGCACCGAAGCCUGCGGCAGUUUUGCUGUUAGGCAAUGUGGUGUUUGGGUCGGCUAGUGGGAUUGCCACUCCACUCGAAAGUCCAGCAUUGAGUAUGGUCACUGGAUUUGGCCCAGAGAGGGUGAAAGGCCCGUACGGGUGGAGGUUCAGACAUGUAAGGCAAUUCACCAGGCCGGCCUUAGAGUCGGGUUGUUUGUGAAUGCAGCCCAAAGCGGGUGGUAAACUCCAUCCAAGGCUAAAUACAAGCACGAGUCCGAUAGCGAACAAGUACCGUGAGGGAAAGUUGAAAAGUACUUUGAAGAGAGAGUAAACAGUACGUGAAACCGCAUGCAGGUAAACGGGUGGCGUCAAGCUGCAAGCCCAGAGGAUUCAGCUGGCUAGUGUGUUGUGUAUGCGCCUGGCGCAUCAAUCAGUCAGAGUAAGAUUGUGUAGUCCACUGGAUAACGGUGGGCCCGGCCGCAAGGUUGGGACAUGUGUACCGGAUGGUAGCCGGAGCAUAUUACACGUCUAUGGGACUGCCUAGCCAGUGCACUUCUCUGUGGUGAACACCACGACCGGUGGUAUUGCCAGUCUGCUGUAGUCAAGUCGUGUUCAGUCGGUUCUCGUAAUCAAUUGGAUGCGAUCACAGGCAAACUCAGUAAACGGCGUAGGGACGUUUCGGCGACUCUGCGUGUUAUCGGCUACUGGUUGUCAACGGGCCGGCCUGAUGAUUGUUGUAAUCGUCCAUCGGGUGGUUCGGUGGGCUAUGGUGGUAUGAAUAACUGUGCAAGGCACCGGAGUUCUCGACCUCAAAUGCAUCCUGCGCACACAUUACAAGUGGAGUGGGGUGCCGUUGCGUCCUGCCUAUUGUUAGGUCUGAUUGUCGUGUCGCCCGCGCAAAGUGGGCCCGGCAGUGGCCUGAUAUGGGAUGGGGCGUGGAUGGUGCUUCCUGUGCGGGGUGUGGUGGGUGAAAUAGUCAGUGGUGUAGUGGUAGACGAGCUACCCGACCCGUCUUGAAACACGGACCAAGGAGUUUAACAUGUAUGCGAGUCAAUGGGCGUUACGAAACCCAAAGGCGCAGUGAAAGUAAAGCUUCGACUUGUUCUCGGAGUGAGGUGAGAUCCUGCUGUUACUCGCAUCAGCCUCUUGUCAGCAUCAGGCUAAGAGCGGUAGGCGCAUCACCGGCCCGUCCCAUGAUGUGGCCAUUGGAUGUCUGCGGUUGUUGCUUGCGGCAGCUGUGGUGCCAGUGCGUCAUUCGGGGCGGAG